rnacentral:lncRNA from 1 species
AUUUUACAAUAGGCAUUGAUAGAAGGAAGUUGUUGUUGUGUCUUGACGAUGGUGAGGAGAAGGAAACUCUUUAUAAGGAGGAGAUAUCCAGGAUGACCGGGAGAGAUGAGGUGAAGGAAUGGGUGGAUGAAUAAGACUAUACUUAUUGAAGGAACGUCUGUAUUCUUUAUAAUACAAAAACCUACUCUAAUUAAUACAUAAAAUACAGGACUAUUUAUACAAGGUAAAAGACAGUACUUUUAAUACAUAUAUAUAUAUAAAAGAAAAUACAAGACGAUAAGAAGAAGAACAAGGGGGAAGGAAAUACGAAAUGCAUUACAGUUGUGGAUCAAUACCAUCAAACGUGCGAAUUGGACUCCUGCCCAAGGCUCAAGAGUUUGCCAUGGUCAUUUUGAAGAAUCAAUGUUUCUCUGGAAGUCCCCAGAAGGACGGUGUCGUUUGGGGCAUAAUGUAAUUCCUACUUUAUUUGAACAUUCUAAGAUAAAAAACAAACGCAAGCUCCCGUUUAACCAAAGCAGGGACGUAGAAGAACUUCAAAGGAAGCAAAUAAUUAUAAUGUUAGAACAUUCUUAUUCUAAAACUCCUUGGGCAUCAAAUAAAGAAGAUUAUCCUGAUCACGAAGUUCAAACCCCACUCACAUCACACAUUUUUUUAAACAAAAAGUCCUAAAGAUUGAAGUUUUAACAUACGCACCAUGCUCUAAUUGAAUCAAUUUAGUAGCAGGAAAUGAAUAUUUAUCUGCAAAAAUACAGUAUCUUCAAGCGAAACUUAUUAAGAACAAGGCUUCAAUAAUGUCAACAAAAAACCCCGUAAAAAUAUACCAAAAAAGUUGGUGUCGGCUCAGUUUCGUCGCAAAUCCUAUAUUGAAGGGUUUUUGAAUGAAGAUAAAUUAAGAUGUUUGUCCAACAGAGGAGACAAAUCUAAAAAAAAAACGCUAAAGUUAAGGUAAACAGAUAAAUACAAAUAAAGAAUUUACGAUUCUUUUAUGCCUUAUUUUGAAGCUAUGUCAUUGAUUAUGAAUUUGGAAUGGUUUACUACACUUUUCAGACUUGCUUGUGACUCGUCAGGUUAUGAAUCCCUUCUGACCAAGGAUUUCCUUUACCCUCACUGAGGACACUCCGAAGGAAAACUGAAGCCAUGUUUUUAACUUUUAAAAUACCGAUUUUCAGUAAAAAAGACAAAAAUUGAUUGAUAAAAUGGUCAUCAAAAAGUCUUAAGACUAUGAUCAAGAGCUAGACCGUCCAAUCGGCCAGGUUACUCUUCCAGAGUACACAAGCGAAUAUGCUACACAUAUUCUUGUCAUCACACUUGAUGUGUUUGAAAGUAGAUGGAAGCAAGUUGUUGGUUAUUUAUUUACUCCAGACUAGUCAAUGGAUCUGUACUAGAGAAAAUCAAAAAGAUGUCGUCAUAAGAGCUUCGGAAAAAAUGAAAUUAUCAACUUCGUCCCUCAUCCUACAUAUUCAAAAGAAAAUUUAUACUUUCUUUAUGAUUUUCCUCGUCUUCUAAAAAAUCUUCAUAUAUCUUUAGAAAACAAUAUUGAAAUUAUUUUUCCAUCAUUUUUGGGGUAGAAAAGUAUUUAUCAACCCAUAUUGUUUCUGUAAAACAUCUUUAAAACUCGUAGAGUUUUGAAAAAAAUUCAGGAUUUGAAAAGCUUCCGAAGCUUUCUGAAUGUGUGAUAAACCCCAGCAAUUUUUCUAAAAUGAAUGUUGCUGAUGCAACGACUUUUUUUUUUCAUGCAACAAGUGCAGGCCUGUGAUAUUCGACUAUCCAGGAGUCUGAUGGGUCAAUCUUAUUAAUAGCAUAAUUUAUUGAUCUGAUUCGUUCCUGGUUUGAACUCAUGCCUCUCAAUCAUCUCAAUGGCUUUAAGUCAUCAAAAUAUUGAGAGAUAUAUAUAUAUAAUGAAGCUAUUCAAACUUUAAAAAGGUGAUAGAAGUCGUUUGUCAAUAUCAGGAUAAAGAAUAAAGAAUUUUGGAUGCCAUAGUAAACUGUUAUAAUGUUAUUGACAACUUCCAUCGUUCAGUUGCACAAGCAAUUCCUUGAUGAAUGAUUUUUAUUUUAUUUUAACUGGAAGGUUUACCCAAAAUAUCGUGAAAAAUUUAUUCAACCUUAUUCAGUACAAGAGUUAAACUCCAACAUCAUGAGAGGCUCAAAAUAAUCUUAGAAUAAUUUCUUUAAGUCAGUUAAUGAAGGAAAGGGAUUUUCCAAUUAUCAAUAUGAGGAUGGCGAAUAAUUAAUCGAUUUCCUACUUGUAAGACCAAUUACCACAGAUAUGGGCUCAUCAAUCUAUGCAAUGAUCUGUUGAUAGGGAGUUAAUUUUGGAAGAAAUUUGCAAUUCUAAGAAGACUAAGAAUGAUUUAAAAGAAGGAAGGAAGGAAUAAAUUAGACGAAGCGGAUAAUACAUCUUUUCUUCAAGAACUAACUCCUCAGCUACAAGAAGAUACUUUGCUGUCUGGACAACAAAUGGCUAUUAUAUAUUAUAUUGCUGGCUAUAUUUUAAAUCAAAUUAAGACAUAUCAGUCUCUUUUUGGACUCUCUAAGUUUUGUUAUUUUGGACACUAGUGAUAUUGGUCCAUAUUCAAAACUCUUUUAUCUAAAAGAUUAUAUCGGCCAAUCUUUCUGCGUUGUAUUAAGAAUGUCUUCAAAAGUAUAAUCCUUAUAACCCAUAAGCGAUUUCGCAGCCUUAUUAAAACUCAAAAAUGUAAUUAUUUAAAAAAUAUAACCAAAAUCAUCCAAGAUUACAUUGAAGAAGAAAAGACAAAUAUAUAUAUACGAUUGUCUUAAUAUUAUGACAAAAAUUAGACGAAAAUAUUGUCAAGUUUGUGUUAAGAUGCACGCAAAACUUUCUCAAAUGAGACGAACAGAGAGUGGAGGAAUGAUGAACAAUUUUCGAGCUAGUAAAAGUGGAAGCAUGCAUGAAAUUGUACAACACAUAUGUUGAUUAUUGCCAUAUUUAAUUACAAUUAAUUAUUUAAAUGUAUUCAAUUCUAAUGAUAUUAUUUAAGUUUAUAUUUUAAAAUUCACUUUUUUCGCUCAUUUAUAUAAAUUUGUAUUACUUUUUC